AGUGAACGCUGGCGGCAGGCCUAACACAUGCAAGUCGAGCGGCAGCGCGUCCGACCACCCUCGGGUGGUCGGAUGGCGGCGAGCGGCGGACGGGUGAGGAAUGCAUCGGAAUCUGCCUCGUUGUGGGGGAUAACGUAGGGAAACUUACGCUAAUACCGCAUACGACCUACGGGUGAAAGUGGGGGACCUUCGGGCCUCACGCGAUGAGAUGAGCCGAUGCCGGAUUAGCUAGUUGGCGGGGUAAAGGCCCACCAAGGCGACGAUCCGUAGCUGGUCUGAGAGGAUGAUCAGCCACACUGGAACUGAGACACGGUCCAGACUCCGUACGGGAGGCAGCAGGUGGGGAAUAGUUGGAACAAGGUGGGGGACCAACCCGUGACUCCAGCCAUCGCCGCGUGUGUAGAAG
rnacentral:rRNA from 1 species